rnacentral:rRNA from 1 species
UACGGAGGGGGCUAGCGUUGUUCGGAAUUACUGGGCGUAAAGCGCGCGUAGGCGGACCUGCAAGUCGGGGGUGAAAGCCCGAGGCUCAACCUCGGAACUGCCUUCGAUACUGCGGGUCUCGAGUCCGGGAGAGGUGAGUGGAAUUCCUAGUGUAGAGGUGAAAUUCGUAGAUAUUCGGAAGAACACCAGUGGCGAAGGCGACUUACUGGACGACUGUUGACACUGAGGUGCGAAAGCGUGGGGAGCAAACAGG